rnacentral:lncRNA from 1 species
AGUCCGUAGUGAAAUCUUUAAAAAGACAAAUACUUAGGAACGGAGGGAGUAGGUCACAUUUUCCUUGGAAACUUCUGGAUGGCAUUGUUCCGGGGUUUGUUUGGUGACUGCUAGGCGUUAUUCGGAUGUAGGAAAGGUAAAAUACAUCCGUCAUCUCUAGCGAUCUGAUGAAAGUCAACGCAACAUACUCUUCCCUCUUGUUUUUUCUUUUCAUCCAGAACGCACACAUAACCUCGCCUCCAUAGCAAGCUCUGGUGGCAUCGCAGAACGCCGGC